AGGGCGAACACAGGUGAAUGGCUUUCGAUAUCUUUCAUUACCUCUUUCGAAGUAAUGAUGUGAAGUGACUCAUCUCUUCGUGGUGUAGCACCCUUCUUCUCAGGACCGGACUCUCUAGGAGGCAAUGAAUUCAAUAUAAUUUUCCGACCCUGGAACAUAAAGCUACACGAAUUUGACCGACCAUGAAGUGUGACAUCCCUAUCGUAUAACCAAGGUCUUCCUAGAAUGACUUGACCUACGUCUAUUGGAAGACAGUCGCACCAAAUCUCGUCUUUAUAAGAUAGGAAUUGAAUCGGGACAAGGCAUCUUUCUGAUACCGAAAUGGACGUCUUAUCUACCCAGGCUACUUUAUAUGGAUUAGGAUGAGGGGUAGACUUCAGGCCAAGGCGAGAAACAACUCCAGAUGCAAUGGCAUUGAUGCAACUCCCGCUAUCAAAUAAGAUUUUGCAUGUUUUACCAUUGAUCUUAAUAAGUGUAUAAAAUAGGGAGGUUCUACGCCAGUCUUGUUCGGUCUUUGUUUGGGCCAGUGUGCACCUAACCACAUGGAGCCUAUGGUUUUGGUCAUUCCUAUCAGUGGGCUCGUUUUGGUAUUCAGUUUGAACAAACUCUAACCCGGUCUUUUUGUUCUACAAAAUCCUCGAUGUUUGGUUCAUAGACUUCUUCGACACAUUCAGUAUCCUGGGUUCCUGCUUCUAGUUCAGUCAUUAAAUAGGUCUUGGCAUUACAUUGGGACGCAAUAUGGCCAAACUUUUGGCACCUGAAACACUGGGUUUGGUUUCUUAAGGGUGGGUUGGACCCUAAUAUGCCUUUUCCUUUAUCAGUUGAUGUACUUUGAGCAGGCAUCGGGAACGUCCUAGUCGGUGUUUGGCUAGAACCAGGCUG
rnacentral:lncRNA from 1 species